rnacentral:rRNA from 1 species
UAGGGANUCUUCGGCAAUGGGGGCAACCCUGACCGAGCAACGCCGCGUGAGUGAAGAAGGUUUUCGGAUCGUAAAGCUCUGUUGUAAGUCAAGAACGAGUGUGAGAGUGGAAAGUUCACACUGUGACGGUAGCUUACCAGAAAGGGACGGCUAACUACGUGCCAGCAGCCGCGGUAAUACGUAGGUCCCGAGCGUUGUCCGGAUUUAUUGGGCGUAAAGCGAGCGCAGGCGGUUUGAUAAGUCUGAAGUUAAAGGCUGUGGCUCAACCAUAGUUCGCUUUGGAAACUGUCAAACUUGAGUGCAGAAGGGGAGAGUGGAAUUCCAUGUGUAGCGGUGAAAUGCGUAGAUAUAUGGAGGAACACCGGUGGCGAAAGCGGCUCUCUGGUCUGUAACUGACGCUGAGGCUCGAAAGCGUGGGGAGCGAACAGGANUAGAUACCCUGGUAGUCCACGCCGUNNCGAUGAGUGCUAGGUGUUGGAUCCUUUCCGGGAUUCAGUGCCGCAGCUAANNCANUAANCACUCCGCCUGGGGAGUACNACCGCANGGUUG